rnacentral:rRNA from 1 species
UACGUAGGGUGCGAGCGUUGCCCGGAUUUAUUGGGCGUAAAGGGCGCGUAGGCGGCCACGCACGUCCGUUGUGAAAUCGCCCGGCUCAACUGGGCGGGGUCGGCGGAUACGGCGUGGCUGGAGCAAGCUAGGGGGCAAUGGAAUUCCCGGUGUAGUGGUGGAAUGCGUAGAUAUCGGGUGGAACACCAGUGGCGAAGGCGGUUGCCUGGAGCUUUGCUGACGCUGAGGCGCGAAAGCGUGGGGAGCGAUCCGG